UACGGAGGGGGCUAGCGUUGUCCGAAGUUACUGUGCGUAAAGCGCGCGUAGGCGGGUUGGUAAGUCCGCUGUGAAAGCCCGGAGCUCAACUCCGGAGGGUCGGUGGAUACUGCCAGUCUUGAAGGUGCUAGGGGGAGAUGGAAUUACCGGUGUAGCGGUGAAAUGCGUAGAUAUCGUUUGGAACGCCAAUGGUGAAAACAGGUAACUGGGGAUGUGCCGACGCUGAGACACGAAAGCCAGGGGAGCGAACGGG
rnacentral:rRNA from 1 species